rnacentral:rRNA from 1 species
GACGAACGCUGGCGGCGUGCUUAACACAUGCAAGUCGAACGGUGAAGGGACCGGUUUUUGCUGGUUCUGGAUGAGUGGCGAACGGGUGAGUAACACGUGAGUAACCUGCCCCCUUCUUCUGGAUAACCGCAUGAAAGUGUGGCUAAUACGGGAUAUUCUGCGCCUGCUGCAUGGUGGGUGUGGGAAAGAUAUUGUUUCGGUGGGGGAUGGGCUCGCGGCCUAUCAGCUUGUUGGUGGGGUGAUGGCCUACCAAGGCGGUGACGGGUAGCCGGCCUGAGAGGGUGGACGGUCACACUGGGACUGAGACACGGCCCAGACUCCUACGGGAGGCAGCAGGGGGGAAUAUUGCACAAUGGGCGCAAGCCUGAUGCAGCGACGCCGCGUGAGGGAUGGAGGCCUUCGGGUUGUAAACCUCUUUCGCCAGUGAAGCAGGCCUGUCCCUUUUGUGGGUGGGUUGACGGUAGCUGGAGAAGAAGCGCCGGCUAACUACGUG